GAGAGAGACAUGCGCGCAUAUCAAUAAGCGGAGGAAAAGAAACUAACAAGGAUUCCCUUAGUAACGGCGAGUGAAGCGGGAAGAGCUCAAAUUUGAGAUCUUCAAGGUUUUACCUUGACGAAUUGUAGUUUAAAGAAGUGUUUUCUGCUGAAGUUUUGGUAAAAGUUCUUUGGAAUAGGACAUCAUAGAGGGUGAGAAUCCCGUAUUUGACCAUUAUUUUCAGCUUCGUGAUACACUUUCAAAGAGUCGGAUUGUUUGGGAAUGCAGUCCAAAAUGGGUGGUAAAUUUCAUCUAAAGCUAAAUAUUGGCGAGAGACCGAUAGCGAACAAGUACCGUGAGGGAAAGAUGAAAAGAACUUUGAAAAGAGAGUUAAACAGUACGUGAAAUUGUCAAAAGGGAAGCGUUUGACACCAGUGUUGUUUUCCUCGAAAAUCAAUUAAAAAUGGCUCGAUUUUGUAUUGUUGAGACCUUAAAAGCUCACUGUACAUUUUUCGUGUCUUUUUUAAUGCACUUUUCGUUUAACAAGUCAACAUCAGUUUCUUUUGUUGUAAAAGGGUCAUUGGAAGGUGGCUUUCUUUUCGGAGAAAGUGUUUAUAGCCUUUGGCCUCUGCAAUCGAAGAGACUGAGGUCUGCAGCGUAGACUCUUCGGGGUUAGAUACAUUUGUGCUAAGUUAUAGCUUUUUAUAGACAACUUGUUGACUAUAAUUAGUCUUGUAGCUUACUCGCUUAUGCUAUUUUACCUACGCUUAGGAUGUUGAAGAUGUAGCACAUCAU
rnacentral:rRNA from 1 species